rnacentral:tRNA from 1 species
GUCAGAAUGGCCGAGUGGUCUAAGGCGCCAGACUCAAGGUUUAAUACCUUCCAGCUAGCUGAGCCUUCUGGUCUCCAGAUGGAGGCGUGGGUUCAAAUCCCACUUCUGACA